UAAAUCUACACCAGGAAAGCUGAAGAUAGCAGACUUAAUGGAACCGUAACGACAACAUCAAGCGGAAAUGAGCGCAGUUGAGUACAGAAAUUUGUAUUUAAAGACGACUACAACCUUGUUAGAGACUUAAAUCGCAAUAGGACUGUUCGCACCUUACAACAUAAGUGUUACUACAUCCUUCCUCUUCGCUUGUACCAUGUGUUCCAAGAGGUUUCUGUUUACAAUUCUUUUUCUUGUGACUAUCCUUACAAGUCAGUGUGAAGCGUUUACGGCUGGCGCAGGAGGCUAUAACGGUAAAAGAUCGAAAAUAGGAAUGCAGAGUGAUUAUAGUGUUCGCCUUGAUGAAAUUUGUUCAGUUACGAGAAAUCACUGCCCAGAGUCCAAGAAGUCCAUGGAAGACGAGAGCUACACAGCCAGGGGAAGAUUUCUUUCCUGAAAAGUUACGACGGAGUUCACAAUAAUAAUCAAACUAUCAAACAAGCUGCGCACAGGACAUCAGAAAAAAAAAUAAGCUGAAUAUCGUGAUAUUCUUCUUUGGAGUUGCCGGCAUUUUAUGUUAAAAUAAAUUAAACGAAUGCUACCUGAUCAAAGUGCCAAUAAAAUAAAAUAGUUAAACAAAGA